UACGAAGGGGGCUAGCGUUGUUCGGAAUUACUGGGCGUAAAGCGCACGUAGGCGGCUUUGUAAGUUAGAGGUGAAAGCCCGGGGCUCAACUCCGGAAUUGCCUUUAAGACUGCAUCGCUAGAAUUGUGGAGAGGUAAGUGGAAUUCCGAGUGUAGAGGUGAAAUUCGUAGAUAUUCGGAAGAACACCAGUGGCGAAGGCGAGUUACUGGACACAUAUUGACGCUGAGGUGCGAAAGCGUGGGGAGCAAACAGG
rnacentral:rRNA from 1 species